GCAGCAGCAGCGUGAUGUUUUCCCUGCUGUAAAGACUGGGUAGACUUUUGAACCUCCUUCCUGAUCGGGAUAGGGGCUUGCAACUGUUCCCCUUGAAC
rnacentral:rRNA from 1 species